UGCUGCGUGGCAUAGUGGUUUGAGUGUUGGACUGCGACUCUAGAGUCCAGGGUUCAAGUCCCAGCUUGGCCA